GCCUGGGUGGCUCAGUGGGUUAAGCAUCUGACUGCAGCUCAGGUCAUGAUCUCGCAGUUCGUGGGUUCAAGCCCGCAUUAGGCU
rnacentral:tRNA from 1 species